UGUAGGAGUGAGCCUGCUCGCGAUAGCGGUCUGCCAUUCAACAUAUCAUUGACUGAUUGACCGCUAUCGCGAGCAGGCUCACUCCUACA
rnacentral:misc_RNA from 1 species